GUGUGUGUGUGUGUGUGUGUGUGUGUGUGUAUCAUACUGUAGCAGUGUGAGUUUCAGUGAACCCUUGUUGAAUAUAAAUGACUCAAAAUCCAAUACUGAUCUGUCUCUCUGACUCAGUCUCUUGGAAACGCACACACACACACACACACACACACACACACACACACACACACUCGUACGUACACACAAACACACACUCUCUCUCUGCAGAAGGGACCCGGUCCAGGUCCUUCAUCUGCUGCAUUAACCAUCGCCGUAACAUUCCAGGUGCACAUGAACCAUCUAGUGCUCUGAUUGGUCGGCUAUUUGCUAUUAAUUGACUUCAGUUUUUAUAUUGAUGCCUUUAGUUUCUCUUUCACUUAUGCAAUAAUAAUAAUAUAUCAAUAUGUUUUUCUUUUCCCCCUGAGGACAGAUCUGUGUACUCCUACAUGCAUUUAUGCACCCCAUCUAUGUCGCAUCCAUCCAUAUAUCUAUAUAUUAUAUAUCUAUAUAUCAUCUAUCCAUAUAUCUAUAAUCAUAUAUCUAUAUAUCAUCUAUCCAUAUAGCUAUAUAUCAUAUAUCUAUAUAUCAUCUAUCCAUAUAUCAUAUAUCUAUAUAUCCAUAUAUCUAUAUAUCAUAUAUCUGUAUAUCAUAUAUCUAUAUAUCCAUAUAUCUAUAUAUCAUAUAUCUAUAUAUCAUCUAUCCAUAUAUCUAUAAUCAUAUAUCUAUAUAUCAUCUAUCCAUAUAGCUAUAUAUCAUAUAUCUAUAUAUCCAUAUAUCUAUAUAUCAUAUAUCUGUAUAUCAUAUAUCCAUAUAUCUAUAUAUCAUAUAUCUAUAUAUCAUAUAUCUAUAUAUCCAUCCUGUCAUGUUCAUUUCAUCUCUUAAUGGCCUGCAGAGAUAGAUUUUAUAUCCUGCAUCCAUCAUCUCUGCAGAGUGGUGUAACCUGAAGGAACACUUUGCACUCCGCACUGGCUUCGUGCGUGUGCGUGCGUGUGUGUGCGUGUGUGUGUGGGUGUGCGCGUGUGUGUGUGUGCGUGUGUGUGUGUGUGUGUGCACUAAGCCCGAAGGAAAGGGGGGAGUCAGUUUUAUAGCUGAAUGAAUCCCUUUUCACCUCACUGUCUUCACACAGCUGCUGUCUGUCAGACCACCUCUGGAUACAGAUGUUAUGGUAUCUGAUGGUGGCCGUAGUGUUGCUGCAGCACCAGAGGACGGCGUUGUUGUCGAUGCAUCUGAUGGGCGACGUGAGAUCAGCUCAGAGGAAAGGAAAAGAAGGCCGCCGUUCUAAAUCUAUAUUGGGAUCGACGUAUCCGUCUCUGGUGUUGACCUGUCAAUCAGCAGGUAGCCCCGCCCUAAAGCGUCCCCUGCUUUAUGGUGUGUUUGACUCUAAAUGGACCAUAACUCACCAAAUGAACAUCAUGCUGGAUGUAUGUAGGACUGAGACCAUAAACUCAUGUUUACAAUCUUCACUGAGGACAUAAUAAUAUAAGAGUCAUUUUCUCAUAAACUUCUGACCCGAGGUGGCGCCCCCUGCUGGUCACUACAUAGAAUGCAAGGCUCUCUCUACAGAACCGGAGGUUCAGGUAAUCACUCCUCUGCUCGGCAAGUCGUCAUCCCAGUAAAGGUUUUAUGAAUAACGCAAAGCUGUCGUCCCCCUGUGGAUCCGCCGCGUCCAAAGUUGCCUAUCUUUUUGCAACGGUCGCCGUCCCCCCCGCCGGUUGCCGUGGAGACGACAGAAGGGGUCACAGCGAAGCAGCUGUUUGUUGCAGCGCGGCAUCGUGAGGUCUAAACACACAGACAGACGCACUCAGACACUACUGCCAGCUCCAGAGGCAUUGUGGGCACCGGGGGGGCAAUUUAGCUCGAGUGCCUCUGUCUGAGCACGGCGCACACUUACACACACACACAUACACACACUUACACACACACACGCACCAACACACUCGGCCUGAUUCACCGUGCUGAUUCAAACUCAACACUGAACAGGUCGGGUGUCACCGAGGACCUGGCAACGCGGCGCCCUCUCCAUUUACUAUCUGGCAACCCGACGUCCGGUCGACUCCUCCCUCCAAAAGGUGCAAGCUGUUUACCCAUGAUGCUUCGCGGCAGAAAGAGUCUCAUUACGACAAGCGGUGCGUUGUCAUUAGACUCAAUGGCUGCAUUAUCACAGUGUGUGUGUGUGUGUGUGUGUGUGUGUGUGUGUUCCAGAUGGUGAUGCAUCAACCAUGAAGUCAUUAUGAGGAAAUUAGAAUAAUGAACUGUUUGUCCCCCUCGGUUUCUUCCCAGCAGCCUCGGCCCCUUUAAACACAGAAGGACCACCUGACGAAGGACUCCGCCCUCUAAAUUCACCCUGACCCCCCCCCCCUGAGGGACUCGUCUCCACACAAAGCAGUGGUUGUUUUCACUGAGAUCAUCUUGGUUAUCGUAUUAUUUCCAUCCAGUCUUCUAGAAGCAGUGAGACGGUUGUUUGUGUGAGGACAUGCUGCUCGUCUUCAGCUUAUAACAUCCUCAUGUGUAACCCUGACCCUGAUCC
ensembl:lncRNA